GAUGAACGCUGGCGGCGUGCUUAACACAUGCAAGUCGAACGGGAUCCAUCAGGCUUUGCUUGGUGGUGAGAGUGGCGAACGGGUGAGUAAUGCGUGACCGACCUGCCCCAUACACCGGAAUAGCUCCUGGAAACGGGUGGUAAUGCCGGAUGCUCCAGUUGAUCGCAUGGUCUUCUGGGAAAGCUUUCGCGGUAUGGGAUGGGGUCGCGUCCUAUCAGCUUGACGGCGGGGUAACGGCCCACCGUGGCUUCGACGGGUAGCCGGCCUGAGAGGGCGACCGGCCACAUUGGGACUGAGAUACGGCCCAGACUCCUACGGGAGGCAGCAGUGGGGAAUAUUGCACAAUGGGCGCAAGCCUGAUGCAGCGACGCCGCGUGAGGGAUGGAGGCCUUCGGGUUGUAAACCUCUUUUAUCGGGGAGCAAGCGAGAGUGAGUU
rnacentral:rRNA from 1 species